rnacentral:lncRNA from 1 species
CCGCACACUGAAGUUCUUUCUCUCUGCAGAUUUUGUAGGUGUGACAGCUCAGCCUACACAGCCCACCUGCUCCAGUCUCUCUUUCUUCUUUGACAACUGGUGUUUGGAACAGCGGUGCUGACUCUGGAGGAGUUAGCAAAGCGUGAGGCAGCCGGAGAAGCCUGGGGUAACCAGUCUGUGCAGAUCAAUUCGGAGCCAGCUGGCCAUACGAUGAGAGCAAGACCACAUGCCCAUCAGAAAGAAGGUCACAAGCGCUGGCAUGGCCACUGCUGGAGCCUCAUUCUUAAUAAGCACAGAAAAUUCUGGAAAUGUGGGUGUUUAAAGAACAAUGUAAAGAAGUGAAAGUCUUCCUAGGAUGCAGAAUUCCCGGUCUUUCAUUAAUUACUGGCACUUUUGGUGGCACACUCAUCUGGGAUGUUUCUGGAAGGCAACUAUGUCUUACAGGACAGCACAGAUGGCUGAGAUAAAGACCAACCUCAAAAGACCAUGAAGCUGGAAUAUAACACUGAAGACGUUCCAGUACAUUCCUGAAACACAAAUUCAUGAGAGACUUCUCUGCUGUGUCACCCGUGCUACCUGUCACCUGUUUUCUUCACUGCCAAAACCGUGUGCUACAGACUGGGCAUCUUACACAGCAGGG